UGAAUACGAGACGCUACGGCGUCGAAGCAGUCUAUGUCAUACUUCCAAGAAAAGCUCGCAAUGUCAUAAACAAAUAAUGCCUGUACCAUAACCGACACAGGUGGGUAGGUAGAGUAUACUAAGGGGCGCGAGAUAACUCUCUCUAAGGAACUCGGCAAAAUGACUCCGUAACUUCGGGAGAAGGAGUGCCUUAUUUAUAAGGUUGCAAUAACAAGAUCCAAGCAACUGUUUAUCAAAAACACAGGUCUCCGCUAAGUCGUAAGACGAUGUAUGGGGGCUGACGCCUGCCCAGUGCCAGAAGGUUAAAGAAGUUGGUUAGCAUUCGCGAAGCUGAUAACUGAAGCCCUGGUGAACGGCGGCCGUAACGAUAACGGUCCUAAGGUAGCGAAAUUCCUUGUCGGGUAAGUUCCGACCCGCACGAAAGGCGUAAUGAUUUGGAUACUGUCUCGGAGAGGGGCUCGGUGAAAUAGACUUGUCUGUGAAGAUGCGGACUACCUGCACCUGGACAGAAAGACCCUAUGAAGCUUUACUGUAACUUGAAAUUGAAAUUGGACUUUAUUUGCGCAGCAUAGGUGGGAGGCGUCGAGAGUAUUCUUGCGGGAAUAUUGGAGCCAUCAGUGAGAUACCACUCUUGUAAUGUUAGAUUUCUAACUUUGGAUCAUUAUCUGGCCAAAGAACAGUUUCAGGCGGGCAGUUUGACUGGGGCGGUCGCCUCCCAAAUGGUAACGGAGGCGUACAAAGGUUUCCUCUGAACGGGUAGAAAUCGUAUCUAGAGUGUAAAGGCAUAAGGAAGCUUGACUGUGAGACCUACAAGUCGAGCAGGGACGAAAGUCGGUCUUAGUGAUCUGACGGUGCUGAGUGGAAAGGCCGUCACUCAACGGAUAAAAGUUACUCUAGGAUAACAGGCUGAUCUCCCCCAAGAGUUCACAUCGACGGGGAGGUUUGGCACCUCGAUGUCGGCUCAUCGCAUCCUGGGGCGGUAGUACGUCCCAAGGGUUGGGCUGUUCGCCCAUGAAAGCGGUACGCGAGCUGGGUUCAGAACGUCGUGAGACAGUUCGGUCCAUAUCCGGUGUAGGCGUUAGAAUAUUGAGAGGAGCCUUCUUUAGUACGAGAGGACCGAGAAGGACAUACCUCUGGUGUACCAGUUAUCGUGCCAACGGUAAACGCUGGGUAGCUAUGUAUGGAGAGGAUAACCGCUGAAAGCAUCUAAG
rnacentral:rRNA from 1 species